GAUGAACGCUGGCGGCGUGCCUAAUACAUGCAAGUAGAACGCUGAAGGAGGAGCUUGCUCUUCUGGAUGAGUUGCGAACGGGUGAGUAACGCGUAGGUAACCUGCCUGGUAGCGGGGGAUAACUAUUGGAAACGAUAGCUAAUACCGCAUGACAACAGUUAUUGCAUGAUAACUAUUUAAAAGGGGCAACUGCUCCACUACCAGAUGGACCUGCGUUGUAUUAGCUAGUUGGUGAGGUAACGGCUCACCAAGGCGACGAUACAUAGCCGACCUGAGAGGGUGAUCGGCCACACUGGGACUGAGACACGGCCCAGACUCCUACGGGAGGCAGCAGUAGGGAAUCUUCGGCAAUGGACGGAAGUCUGACCGAGCAACGCCGCGUGAGUGAAGAAGGUUUUCGGAUCGUAAAGCUCUGUUGUAAGAGAAGAACGAGUGUGAGAGUGGAAAGUUCACACUGUGACGGUAUCUUACCAGAAAGGGACGGCUAACUACGUG
rnacentral:rRNA from 1 species